UACGUAGGUGGCAAGCGUUGUCCGGAUUUAUUGGGCGUAAAGAGCGUGUAGGCGGCCAGGUAGGUCGGUUGUGAAAACUGGAGGCUCAACCUUCAGAGGUCGACCGAAACCAUCUGGCUAGAGUCCGGGAGAGGAGAGUGGAAUUCCUGGUGUAGCGGUGAAAUGCGCAGAUAUCAGGAAGAACACCCGUGGCGAAAGCGGCUCUCUGGAACGGUACUGACGCUGAGACGCGAAAGCGUGGGGAGCGAACAGG
rnacentral:rRNA from 1 species